UGGGGAAUAUUGGACAAUGGGGGAAACCCUGAUCCAGCGACGCCGCGUGUGUGAAGAAGGCCUGCGGGUUGUAAAGCACUUUCGGUGGGAACGAAAUAUGCCGGGCUAAUACCCCGGUAGGCUGACGUUACUCAAUGAAGAAGCACCGGCUAACUCUGUGCCAGCAGCCGCGGUAAUACAGAGGGUGCGAGCGUUAAUCGGAAUUACUGGGCGUAAAGCGCACGUAGGUGGCGACGUAAGUCGGGUGUGAAAGCCCCGGGCUCAACCUGGGAACCGCAUUCGGGACUGCGUUGCUGGAGUACGGAAGAGGAGGGCGGAAUUCCCGGUGUAGCGGUGAAAUGCGUAGAUAUCGGGAGGAACAUCAGUGGCGAAGGCGGCCCUCUGGUCCAGUACUGACACUCAAGUGCGAAAGCGUGGGGAGCAAACAGGAUUAGAUACCCUAGUAGUCCCUGAGCGGGCUGGCAAGGCGCAU
rnacentral:rRNA from 1 species